GAUAGGCUGACAACGAGAGUUGA
rnacentral:siRNA from 1 species